rnacentral:tRNA from 1 species
GCCUGGGGGGCUCAGUCAGUUGAGUGUCUGACUGCAGCUCAGGUCAUGAUCUCGCGGUCUGUGAGUUCGAGCCCCGCCUCGGGCU